GUGUCAGCAGCCGCGGUAAGACGUAGGGGGCGAGCGUUGUCCGGAAUUACUGGGCGUAAAGAGCACGUAGGCGGGACUUUAAGUCAGGUGUGAAAGACCGGGGCUCAACCUCGGGGUUGCACAUGAAACUGGAGUUCUUGAGGGCAGGAGAGGGCAGUAGAAUUCCUGGUGUAGCGGUGAAAUGCGUAGAAAUCAGGAGGAAUACCAGUGGCGAAGGCGACUGCCUGGACUGA
rnacentral:rRNA from 1 species